rnacentral:sRNA from 1 species
AUGGCCAUGGCCUUCACAGACCUGCUGGAUGCUCUGGGCGGCAUGGGCCGCUUCCAGCUCAUCCACAUGGCCCUGCUGCUGCUGCCCUGCGGCCUGCUGGCCUGCCACAACUUCCUGCAGAACUUCACGGCCGCUGUCCCCCCCCACCACUGCCGGGGCCCUGCCAACAACACUGAGGCCUCCACCAACGACUCGGGGGCCUGGCUGAGGGCCACCAUACCCCUGGACCAGCUUGGGGCCCCUGAGCCCUGCCGGCACUUCACCAAGCCUCAGUGGGCCCUGCUGAGCCCCAACUCCUCCAUCCCGGGCGCGGCCACGGAGGGCUGCAAGGACGGCUGGGUCUAUAACCGCAGUGUUUUCCCGUCCACCAUCGUGAUGGAGGUCAGAAGGGGCUGGUGCGUGGGGGGGCUGCUGCCGAGGCCCAGUCUGAAGUGCCCAUGUCUUCCCUGCAGUGGGAUCUGGUGUGUGAGGCCCGCACUCUCCGAGACCUGGCGCAGUCUGUCUACAUGGCCGGGGUGCUGGUGGGGGCUGCCGUGUUUGGCAGCUUGGCAGACAGGCUGGGCCGCAAGGGCCCCCUGGUCUGGUCCUACCUGCAGCUGGCAGCUUCGGGGGCCGCCACAGCGUAUUUCAGCUCCUUCAGUGCCUACUGCGUCUUCCGGUUCCUGAUGGGCAUGACCUUCUCUGGCAUCAUCCUCAACUCCCUCUCCCUGUUGUGGAGUGGAUGCCCACACGGGGCCGGACUGUGGCGGGUAUCUUGCUGGGGUAUUCCUUCACCCUGGGCCAGCUCAUCCUGGCUGGGGUAGCCUACCUGAUUCGCCCCUGGCGUUGCCUGCAGUUUGCCAUCUCUGCUCCUUUCCUGAUCUUUUUCCUCUAUUCUUGGUGGCUUCCAGAGUCAUCCCGCUGGCUCCUCCUGCAUGGCAAGUCCCAGUUAGCUGUACAGAAUCUGCAGAAGGUGGCUGCAAUGAACGGCAGGAAGGAGGAAGGGGAAAGGCUGACCAAGGAGGUGGUGAGCUCCUACAUCCAAAGCGAGUUUGCAAGUGUCCGCACCUCCAACUCAAUCUUGGACCUCUUCCGAACCCCGGCCAUCCGCAAGGUCACAUGCUGUCUCAUGGUGAUUUGGUUCUCCAACUCUGUGGCUUACUAUGGCCUGGCCAUGGACCUGCAGAAGUUUGGGCUCAGCCUAUACCUGGUGCAGGCCCUGUUUGGAAUCAUCGACAUCCCGGCCAUGCUGGUGGCCACCGCCACCAUGAUUUACGUGGGCCGCCGGGCCACGGUGGCCUCCUUCCUCAUCCUGGCCGGGCUCAUGGUGAUCGCCAACAUGUUUGUGCCAGAAGGCAUGCAGAUCCUGCGCACAGCCCAGGCAGCGCUGGGCAAAGGCUGCCUGGCCAGCUCCUUCAUCUGUGUGUACCUGUUUACCGGCGAGCUGUACCCCACGGAGAUCAGGCAGAUGGGGAUGGGCUUUGCCUCUGUCCACGCCCGCCUCGGGGGCCUGGCGGCGCCCCUGGUUACCACACUUGGGGAAUACAGCACCAUCCUGCCAACCGUGAGCUUUGGGGCCACCGCAAUCCUGGCUGGGCUGGCCGUCUGCUUCCUGACCGAGACUCGCAACAUGCCCCUGGUGGAGACCAUCGCAGCCAUGGAGAGGAGGGUCAAAGAAGGCUCUUCCAAGAAACAUGUAGAAGAGAAGAGUGAAGAAAUUUCUCUUCAGCAGCUGAGAGCAUCUCCCCUCAAAGAAACCAUCUAA